AUUUAGUUUUGAUCAUGUUAUGAGUCAUUUUUCUAGAUCAAGUCCAUUAGUUAGUUUGCAUUUAAUUAAGUGCUUCAAACUAAAGUUUUUCUUGAGAAGAAAUUAGCUUGUGAAGAAAAACAUUAAAACUUUAACUAUAACAAAUUUAUCGCAGAAAUUACGAAGCGAUAAACAUGCCAAACUAGUGACUAUACAUAAUCCUGCGGACCAAUCAAAGUAAGCAGUCAUUCUAAUCGACUUAGAAUUCGUCCUGCACUUUCCGUGAUAUGGUCGAUAUAGGCGAGUACCCUGUUGUUUCCAAGAUUUUGUGACUUUGUGUAAUUAUUUUAAAAAAUGGGGUUGACAGGAAUGCUUCGUGUUUUUAAUAAAAUGAAGUUGAACUUCAGCAUGUACUCUAGAGCCUAUUUACAUGUGAAACAUGAAGUGAAAAAUGGUGUUGCUGUUGUUAAGUUUGAUUCUCCAAAUUCUAAGGUUAAUACAUUGUCACGAGAGGUUACAGCAGAAGUGGAGCAAGUCAUGAAACGUG